rnacentral:rRNA from 1 species
AUUGAACGCUGGCGGCAGGCCUAACACAUGCAAGUCGAGCGGAUGAAGGGAGCUUGCUCCUGGAUUCAGCGGCGGACGGGUGAGUAAUGCCUAGGAAUCUGCCUGGUAGUGGGGGAUAACGUCCGGAAACGGGCGCUAAUACCGCAUACGUCCUGAGGUAGAAAGUGGGGGAUCUUCGGACCUCACGCUAUCAGAUGAGCCUAGGUCGGAUUAGCGAGUUGGUGGGGUAACGGCCUACCAAGGCGACGAUCCGUAACUGGUCUGAGAGGAUGAUCAGUCACACUGGAACUGAGACACGGUCCAGACUCCUACGGGAGGCAGCAGUGGGGAAUAUUGGACAAUGGGCGAAAGCCUGAUCCAGCCAUGCCGCGUGUGUGAAGAAGGUCUUCGGAUUGUAAAGCACUUUAAGUUGGGAGGAAGGGCAGUAAGUUAAUACCUUGCUGUUUUGACGUUACCAACAGAAUAAGCACCGGCUAACUUCGUG